UCGUCAGGUAGGAUAGUCCUUACCUAUUCCUCCCUUUUGAGGGCAGAACAGGACGUGAUGAUUGGAGCUCACAUGAUUCAUGAUUAAUGGCAAAAGAUAAAAAUAAAAAUACACACAGAGACACACAUAUAUCUCAUUCAGAC
ensembl:snoRNA U8 U8 small nucleolar RNA